GCCUACGACCAUAUCACCCUGAAUGCGCCCGAUCUCGUCUGAUCUCGGAAGCUAAGCAUGGUCGAGCCUGAUUAGUACUUGGAUGGGAGACUGCCUGGGAAUACCAGGUGUUGUAGGCU
ensembl:rRNA 5S_rRNA 5S ribosomal RNA